GGGAUUGCCUUAGUAACGGCGAGUGAAGCGGCAAUAGCUCAAAUUUGAAAGCUGGCGUCUUCGACGUCCGCGUUGUAAUUUGUAGAGGAUGCUUCGGCGAGGACUCCUGCCUAAGUCCCCUGGAACGGGGCGUCACAGAGGGUGAGAAUCCCGUAUGUGGCGGGCGGUCCAAGCCAUGUGAAGCUCCUUCGACGAGUCGAGUUGUUUGGGAAUGCAGCUCUAAAUGGGAGGUAAAUUUCUUCUAAAGCUAAAUAUUGGCCAGAGACCGAUAGCGCACAAGUAGAGUGAUCGAAAGAUGAAAAGCACUUUGGAAAGAGAGUUAAAAAGUACGUGAAAUUGUUGAAAGGGAAGCGCUUGCAACCAGACUCGCUCGCAGUUGCUCAGCCGGCCUCUUGGCCGGUGUACUCUUCUGCGAUCGGGCCAGCAUCAGUUCGGGCGGCUGGAUAAAGGUGUCGGGAAUGUAGCACCCUUCGGGGUGUGUUAUAGCCCGGCGCGGAAUGCGGCCAGCCUGGACUGAGGAUCUCGCCUCGGCAAGGAUGCUGGCGUAAUGGUUGUAAGCGGCCCGUCUUGAAACACGGACCAAGGAGUCUAACAUCUAUGCGAGUGUUUGGGUGUCAAACCCAUGCGCGUAAUGAAAGUGAACGGAGGUGGGAACCCUUCACGGGGUGCACCAUCGACCGAUCCUGAUGUCUUCGGAUGGAUUUGAGUAAGAGCAUAGCUGUUGGGACCCGAAAGAUGGUGAACUAUGCCUGAAUAGGGUGAAGCCAGAGGAAACUCUGGUGGAGGCUCGCAGCGGUUCUGACGUGCAAAUCGAUCGUCAAAUUUGGGUAUAGGGGCGAAAG
rnacentral:rRNA from 1 species